rnacentral:rRNA from 1 species
UCCUGGUUGGCGAGUGGCGAACGGGUGAGUAAUAUAUCGGAACGUGCCCAGUAGUGGGGGAUAGCCCGGCGAAAGCCGGAUUAAUACCGCAUACGACCUACGGGUGAAAGCGGGGGAUCGCAAGACCUCGCGCUAUUGGAGCGGCCGAUAUCAGAUUAGCUAGUUGGUGGGGUAAAGGCCUACCAAGGCGACGAUCUGUAGCUGGUCUGAGAGGACGACCAGCCACACUGGGACUGAGACACGGCCCAGACUCCUACGGGAGGCAGCAGUGGGGAAUUUUGGACAAUGGGCGCAAGCCUGAUCCAGCCAUGCCGCGUGUGGGAAGAAGGCCUUCGGGUUGUAAACCACUUUUGUCAGGGAAGAAACGGCUCUCACGAAUAAUGAGGGCUAAUGACGGUACCUGAAGAAUAAGCACCGGCUAACUACGUGCCAGCAGCCGCGGUAAUACGUAGGGUGCAAGCGUUAAUCGGAAUUACUGGGCGUAAAGCGUGCGCAGGCGGCUAUGCAAGACAGAUGUGAAAUCCCCGGGCUCAACCU